CAGGGCAAUCUCUUCUUUUCCUUGCCAUGUGAUUGUGUGUGUGUGCGUGUGUGUCAGUGGGGGGGGUAGCUAGUGGCUAAAUCUCAUAAAAGGGUUUCCUAAUAUGGGCUGUCUCUUAAAUGGUCCCUCCUCCUCACCUCAAGUGGGCGGAGUUUUCACUCUCUCUCGACCAGUAAUGACACGGCAUCGAGUCACUUCCUCCAUUAAUUGGUUGAAACCAGUUCUUACAGGAACCGCCGGUGAUAAAUGUGAGAGUUCUGAGAAAUCAUUCAUUUCUUCCUUCAGCCUGGCUGAGGGACGUUACAGGGGAGUGUGGAUGGCUCUGUGCGAGCAUGCCUUCAGGACAAGCUUUUCUCUUUUCGUGAUCUCUGCAUUUUUUUCACCCUCCAUCAUUUUUAAGUGCUUAGGAAAUGUCUCAGAACAAGCUGUACUUUUAUAUUGUUUGUCUUUUAUUUUAGUUUUGGUCUUUUGGGAUAAACUCCUUAACAGAGCUCAGCCUCUGUCUCUCUCUCGUGCGCUUGCUCGGUGAGAGCGGCGAGGAGAGGCAGUGCUAACACGGGGUAAAGGAAACUCACUGACCUUUUGAGUUGGUAAGUGAAAUUUAUGUGACCUCUCUCUCUUUCUCCCUCCCUCCCUUUCUUUCUCUCUCUUUCUCUGCCCCCCCUUUCUUUUCUGUCACACAGAGCUCUUCCCCUGUUUGGCGCCUCUCUACAGAAGCCUUUCAGGAGUACCUUGAGGCCCAGAGGGCAGAAUUACAGCACCGGGCGGGAGCGGCCACCCUAACCAAUGAAGACUCCGGCUCCGGUUUCAGAAAGAGAGGAUCAUCAUGGUUUGAUUUGCUAUUCCACUCCAGUCAAGAUCAAUUCUUAUAUAUUUUUUUUGUUUUCUCGAUCCCAUUCUUUUCUGAUUCGCCUAUCAGUUAACAUUUUUACUUUUUAAUGCGCUUGGUUAGAUGGCGGUUUGCGCCAAGAUGCUCAUGUUAUCAGCUCUGCGUCUUACACAAGUCAUUUGAUCCCAUUGGAAGGGGUGGCACCAUGACUGAUGUGGUGUGUGUAGUGCGUUACCCUUAAGUAGACAUAAGGGACUGAGUGUAUCAAUUUUAUUUUAAAACCAGCGCCCGAACCGUUCUCCUGCCAGGCCGUAUUUCACAACAAAGUCUUUGUGUAUUAUAGGCAUAUAUUUAGAUAUUGUAAUUAUUGUUACUAUAUUUAAUGUAGAGUUAGUUUCUUUUUGUCUUAGAGAGAGAGAGAGAGAGAGAGAGAGAGAGAGAGAGAGAGAGAGAGAGAGAGAGAGAGCGUUUGUAUAACCACAUGACUCACUACAGGGCUGCUCCACCAGAUGCAAUAACGCAUUCAAUCAGAUUAAAACGCGCGUGUGUUCCUGCACAUAUGCGCGUGGGCGGCCGCCACGUUUCCCGCGUAGCUCCUUGUCGCUCAUAUUCUUUACACGUGAAGAACUUCCGGUCAAGCUGCGUGACGCUCGCAUCUGCGAGAUCUGGUGACGUCGUCGCUGCCUGUGAUCGUUUGACUGCGGACAGCCUGUCAUUUUUAAAUUUCUUCACUCUUUUGCAUAGCUUUAUGUAAGUUACAACGCAAGUAUCCAUCUUAAAACUCGUCACAAUGCAUUUCAUGGUUAGCAUCAUUAUUCACGAAAGGUGUCAGCCAUCGCCCAUUCUGCGUCUUUUAACUCCGUUUCAUUUUUUAUGAAAUGUUUAUUUUUUUGUGCCUUUUUGUAACGUUGCCCUGGUAUGUGAGUCUGGAAGCUGCGAGCGUAUAAAAAAUCGAACAGUGUGGAGUUUCUUUGCCGUUACCUCAAAUGAACCCUCGGUUGAACUCAAUGCACUGCGCGCUGCUGCUGUAGCGGAUGAGAGAAGAGAGAGAGAGAGGGAGGCUGCGUUUAAAAAUCCAUCGUACCUCCUACAUAGAAAGCCUGUAGAUGGUUCAAACACCAGUGCUGACUAGACUGCGCGAGAUUAACUAGAAUAAAAAAAAUACUCUAGCGGGAUUUAUAUCGUUAGAUUGUUACGAUUGAUGACCACGCCCCUCUCCCAGCCCCUCCACUCAUUUCGUUAUUGGUAAGUGUGUUAAUUCUUUAUUGUGUGUGUUUAGUAGUGUGGAUAAGGCAUUUCCACGCGUCUCUCCCAGUGUGUCAAAUAGCUUAUCAGACUGGUGUUGGCUGUUACAUUCGUCCGGCGACAACAGUCUGUAGGCUGUCUGACAUUUUGGGCUUUAUCACCCAGACAAAUUUCAUCUAUAGUCCUUUUCAUUUUUUUCAUACUCGUGGUGUUAUAAGUGAAUUGUAUUUUAUAUGUAAUAUGUUUAUAUUAUAAUCGUUGUAAAAUAUAUCGUGUUGUGUUAUUAUUAUUAUUACUACAGCCUUGGAUGCGUUAUUACAGCUCUGCAAAGGCAUACAUUCCUCCCUUCUCGUUAAAAGGGCGUAUGUGUCCGUGCGCGCGUGUGUGUGAAUGAAAGCACGCGCGUGUCUGUGUGUGUGUUUCCGGCACUUGAAUUUGUCCACUUGAAUUUCUUGUGAAUCCAGAAAACACACCUUAUUGCAUCACACACUUUUAUGACAGCAUUUUUGUCGAUCCUGAUUCAAGUGUGUUGUUUCCUGUAACCUGUUAAAUUGUUUAUUUUACAUUCAACUUGUUAUUUCAUUUGAUGUUGCUCCCCCUUCUUUUUCUUUGUGUGUGAAAAACAGAGUGAUCUGCUUGGCUUUCACAUAUAAGUCGUGUCAUUUCCUCGUUUCUGUUCAGAACAUCCUGUACUUUAGGGAACCCCCUCUGUCAUUUAUGUACGUCUGUGGAUCUGUAUUUGUGUGUGUUUUCUAUUAAAAAAGAUGAAUCAAUAAAGUUGAAUGAAGAAAGUCA